rnacentral:rRNA from 1 species
GCGGUGGAGCAUGUGGUUUAAUUCGAAGCAACGCGCAGAACCUUACCAGCUUUUGACAUGCCCGGUAUGAUCGCCAGAGAUGGCUUUCUCCCGCAAGGGGCCGGUGCACAGGUGCUGCAUGGCUGUCGUCAGCUCGUGUCGUGAGAUGUUGGGUUAAGUCCCGCAACGAGCGCAACCCUCGCCCUUAGUUGCCAUCAUUAAGUUGGGCACUCUAGGGGGACUGCCGGUGAUAAGCCGCGAGGAAGGUGGGGAUGACGUCAAGUCCUCAUGGCCCUUACAGGCUGGGCUACACACGUGCUACAAUGGCGGUGACAAUGGGAUGCGGAAGGGCGACCUCGAGCAAAUCUCAAAAAGCCGUCUCAGUUCGGAUUGCACUCUGCAACUCGAGUGCAUGAAGGUGGAAUCGCUAGUAAUCGCAGAUCAGCACGCUGCGGUGAAUACGUUCCCGGGCCUU